AAUCAAGUUAAGAUGAGGUCAUGAGGGUAGGCUGUAAGCCAGUAUGACUUAUGCCUUUAUGACAGGAGGAAAACAUCAUAGAAAGACAGAGACACACAGGGAGAAUGAGAAGUGACAACAGAGGCAGGGAUUGGAGCAAUGCAGUUGCAAGCUAAGGAAAGCCAAGUAUUGAUGUUCACCACCAGAAACUAGGAAGAGGCAGGAAAGGAGUCUACUCAGAGUUCUAGAGGGAGCACGGUCUCACUAACACCUUGAUUUCAGACUGCUAGCCUCCAGAUUAUGAGAGAAUGAACUUUUGUUGUUUUAAGCCAGCUAGCUGUAGUACAUUAUUAUGGAAGCUUCGGCAAACUAAUACAGUAUGUACCACACCUUCUGAUAUACUACAUAUUUUACAUGUUUGUUGUAUUUAUCGUCUGUCUCCCCAACACGGUAGAGUAAACUCCAAGGAGGACACACCAUUUCUGGCUCCCUAGUCCAUACUGCUCUGAUCUCUGCUGGGUUCCACUCGAUUCGACUUCUGCCUAGGAUUAAUUGAUCCUAAUGCUUCUGGAUGAACCUGCAGAGGAAUUUCAUGAAGAUAUGAACUGAAAUCAAAUCAAGAAGUGGAAAUUCUACCUUCUAAGGAUAGUGGAAGAAUAAUUUGGAAUUGUAUAAAAUUUGGAGACGACAGACUACAGUUCUGUAAAGGAAGUCUUCCAUUUGGACUCCCAGAUAAUACUGCCCAUGUGCCCAGAUCACAUAGUGUGAAGGGUUAGCUUUCGAAUUAGAGAGUUUGAACUAGCAAGUAGCCUUUCCCUCUUCUAUCUCGUAUUGGCCCCAAACCUUGCAAUUCUUGACAUUUAUACAAGAGGUGCUCAUCACACCAUUCUAUGAGCUCGAUGCUCUUGAUUGGCACUUCCCCAGAAAAGACCCUCCCUGGCAGGUGCAGAUGGUGUGGAUCCCAGCUUUUCCUCAAAUUCUCAGCAUGGCCACACUUCCAGAAUCAGUCUCAUUACCCUCAGACUAUGCACACAAGCUGGGCAAUGGACAUCUUCCGAAGUUUGAGUCUUCACUCAUCAGAGCCACUGUUCCAAGCAUCUGGCUUCUGAAAACCUCAAAUUAUUUUCUUUCUUUCUCCAAUCCUAGAGAUGACAGCAGCUUCUUGCAAUAAUUAGCAUAGUGUUCAUUUUUAGGCGUUUCAGUUCUCCAGCAUCUGUUUAACUAUUUCCCUACAUUAAAAUCUCUUGGUUGAA